rnacentral:rRNA from 1 species
CACGUAGGGCGCAAGCGUUGUCCGGAAUUAUUGGGCGUAAAGAGCUCGUAGGCGGUCUGUUGCGUCCGCUGUGAAAACUCGGGGCUUAACCCCGAGCCUGCAGUGGAUACGGGCAGACUAGAGGUAGGUAGGGGAGAAUGGAAUUCCCGGUGUAGCGGUGAAAUGCGUAGAUAUCAGGAGGAACACCGGUGGUGUAGACGGCUCACUGGACCAUAACUGACGCUGAGACACGAAAGCGUGGGUAGCAAACAGG